CUUCCUUAACUACCCUGUGUGUGUAUUGACAGCAGUAUAAGAGCAAGGUGGGAUGCCACCACUUCAGUCUGGCUGCAGUGGGAUGCCACCACUUCAGUCCAGCUGCAGUGGAUGCCACUCAAGGUGAUUUAGCCAGGGUAUGAUGUGAUUCCCACCUUAAGACACACUUGCUCGUAUGUUCAGUGAUCGGUAAGAAAGUGUGGCAGAGAACCAAUUGUAUCAGCCAGAAGGCUGUAGUGUGGGACUACAUGAGGCCAGAAUGUGGCAUGGGCCUUGGAAAGAGGCAGACACAUGAUCUGUUUCAGAGCCCACGUUCAGCAGAUCUGCCGAUGAGUUCCAUGUGGCCUGCGAAGGGACGAUGAUCAACAAAACUUGUGGGUUUCCUGGAAGCGAACACUGUGAUGCUGGGGUAAAAGAUGUGAUGAGUCCACAAACGACUGUUUGCUGAUCUCAGAGGCACACAGUGUUGACAAAAGAAGCUGAGUCAAACAGAAACAGCAACCGAGGUGAAGAAAACAUAUGUUUAUAUAUGUAUUUAGGGGCUGCCUAGCAUGGGAGAACAUAAGGACACCUUUUCUCUCUAUGGCAGGGGUAAGAACUGAGGCUGGAGAAAGCAGGACCCCACAAGACUGGAGCCUGUAGGGAACCCACUUUCCUGUCCUGCAGCCAUGCUGUACUGUCAGCUGACAUUACUUUCCCCCUCUGUGGGAAGAAAGAUGAGAGAAAUGAAAGCAUGUCUUCACUGUCAGCUCUCUCUGCUUACACAAACCUGACUUUGGAGAAUGUCCUGGACACAUGGCAUGUGCAUGGAUUUGUGACUCCAAUGAUACAAGGUGUCACUGGGCUUAUCCAUGCUCAACUCUAAAGCACCGACCACUGGAAGCUAUCGAACAUCACCUUGUUCCCAAUAGCUAACCCCUUUGCCUUGCCUGGCUUCUUGGAGAAUGAACUGAUACAAUGUGUGUGCUGUAUGAAAAGUGUAGUGUUUGGGGCUGGCAAUAUGGCUCAGUGGGUAAGAAGGCUUGCUGCCAAGCCUGAACAUCUGUGUUCUAUACCUAGAUUCCUUGAUAGAAGUAAAGAACCGACUGGCAAGUUGUCCUCUAAAGUGAACAUGUAUGCCAGGUCAC